UUAAAGUGUUUGGUAGUUCCUCUUGCCUUCAUUUUCCCUCCUGCCGCCUUGUAAAGGAAGUGCCUUGCUUCCUCUUUGCUUUUCGCCAGGAUUGUAAGUUUCCUGAGGCCUCCCCAGCCAUGCGGAACAGAGCUUCUGGUUACACCGUCUGAGGAGAGAGGAUUCACUGGGAGCUGCCUUUGUCUUGCAGAUACCACCCAGAUGGAAACGGAAGCACUGAUAGACUACAGGCCAUCUUAUCAUGCUUAAAA
rnacentral:lncRNA from 1 species